rnacentral:rRNA from 1 species
GAAACCAACAGGGAUUGCCCUAGUAACGGCGAGUGAAGCGGCAACAGCUCAAAUUUGAAAUCUGGCUCUUUCAGAGUCCGAGUUGUAAUUUGCAGAGGGCGCUUUGGCGUUGGCAGCGGUCCAAGUUCUUUGGAACAGGACGUCACAGAGGGUGAGAAUCCCGUACGUGGUCGCUAUCCUUCGCCGUGUAAAGCCCCUUCGACGAGUCGAGUUGUUUGGGAAUGCAGCUCUAAAUGGGAGGUAAAUUUCUUCUAAAGCUAAAUACUGGCCAGAGACCGAUAGCGCACAAGUAGAGUGAUCGAAAGAUGAAAAGCACUUUGGAAAGAGAGUCAAAUAGCACGUGAAAUUGUUGAAAGGGAAGCGCUUGCAGCCAGACUUGCCUGUAGUUGCUUAUCCGGACUUUUGUCCGGUGCACUCUUCUAUGGGCAGGCCAGCAUCAGUUUCGGCGGUUAGAUAAAGGUCUCUGUCACGUACCUCUCUUCGGGGAGGCCUUAUAGGGGAGACGACAUGUAACCAGCUGAGACUGAGGUCCGCGCAUUUUGCCAGGAUGCUGGCGUAAUGGCUGUAAGCGGCCCGUCUUGAAACACGGACCAAGGAGUCUAACAUCUAUGCGAGUGUUUGGGUGUCAAGCCCAGACGCGUAAUGAAAGUGAACGGAGGUAGGAACCCUUUGGGUGCACUAUCGACCGAUCCUGAUGUCUUCGGAAGGAUUUGAGUAAGAGCAUGGCUGUUGGGACCCGAAAGAUGGUGAACUAUGCUUGAAUAGGGUGAAGCCAGAGGAAACUCUGGUGGAGGCUCGCAGCGGUUCUGACGUGCAAAUCGAUCGUCAAAUUUGGGCAUAGGGGCGAAAGACUAAU